rnacentral:rRNA from 1 species
CAUGCAGUCGAACGGCAGCACGGGGGCAACCCUGGUGGCGAGUGGCGAACGGGUGAGUAAUGCAUCGGAACGUGCCCAGUAGUGGGGGAUAACCAGUCGAAAGAUUGGCUAAUACCGCAUACGACCUACGGGUGAAAGCGGGGGACCGUAAGGCCUCGCGCUAUUGGAGCGGCCGAUGUCUGAUUAGCUAGUUGGCGGGGUAAAAGCCCACCAAGGCGACGAUCAGUAGCUGGUCUGAGAGGACGACCAGCCACACUGGGACUGAGACACGGCCCAGACUCCUACGGGAGGCAGCAGUGGGGAAUUUUGGACAAUGGGCGCAAGCCUGAUCCAGCCAUGCCGCGUGCGGGAAGAAGGCCUUCGGGUUGUAAACCGCUUUUGGCAGGAACGAAACGGCGAUUCCUAAUACGGGUCGUUAAUGACGGUACCUGCAGAAUAAGCACCGGCUAACUACGUGCCAGCAGCCGCGGUAAUACGUAGGGUGCAAGCGUUAAUCGGAAUUACUGGGCGUAAAGCGUACGCAGGCGGCUUUGCAAGACAGGUGUGAAAUCCCCGGGCCUAACCUGGGAACUGCAUUUGUGACUGCAUGGCUAGAGUCUGUCAGAGGGGGGUGGAAUUCCACGUGUAGCAGUGAAAUGCGUAGAGAUGUGGAAGAACACCGAUGGCGAAGGCAGCCCCCUGGGAUGAGACUGACGCUCAU